GGUAGCGUGGCCGAGCGGUCUAAGGCGCUGGUUUUAGGCACCAGUCAUUUCGAUGACGUGGGUUCGAAUCCCACCGCUGCCA
rnacentral:tRNA from 1 species